CGAUGUCGGCUCAUCACAUCCUGGGGCUGAAGUAGGUCCCAAGGGUAUGGCUGUUCGCCAUUUAAAGUGGUACGCGAGCUGGGUUUAGAACGUCGUGAGACAGUUCGGUCCCUAUCUGCCGUGGGCGUUGGAAGAUUGAGAGGGGCUGCUCCUAGUACGAGAGGACCGGAGUGGACGCAUCACUGGUGUUCGGGUUGUCAUGCCAAUGGCAUUGCCCGGUAGCUAAAUGCGGAAAAGAUAAGCGCUGAAAGCAUCUAAGCGCGAAACUUGCCUCGAGAUGAGUCUUCCCUGAGACCUUGAGUCUCCUAAAGGAACGUUUAAGACUAAGACGUUGAUAGGCUGGGUGUGUAAGCGUAGCGAUACGUUGAGCUAACCAGUACUAAUGAUCCGUGAGGCUUAACCUUACAACACCGAAGGUGUUU
rnacentral:rRNA from 1 species